CAGUAGCCGCGGGAAUACGAAGGGUGCAAGCGUUACUCGGAAUUAUUGGGCGUAAAGGGCUCGCAGGCGGUUUCUUAAGUCUGAUGUGAAAGCCCCCGGCUCAACCGGGGAGGGUCAUUGGAAACUGGGAAACUUGAGUGCAGAAGAGGAGAGUGGAAUUCCACGUGUAGCGGUGAAAUGCGUAGAGAUGUGGAGGAACACCAGUGGCGAAGGCGACUCUCUGGUCUGUAACUGACGCUGAGGAGCGAAAGCGUGGGGAGCGAACAGGACUAGAUACCCGCGUAGUCCCUGUCUCUUAUAC
rnacentral:rRNA from 1 species